CCCCCUCUUAUAGUUAAAAAAACUCUCAUUUUUUAACCAAAUCCAAACCCUAAACUGCGCCUCUCCUAAUUUCUUCUUCACUUUGAGGUUUUCUUGCAAGAGUUGAGAGGUGAGACCAAGUAAUUUUGGAUUACAACAGAGAAACCAAAGUAACGAAAAAGAUGGAUAUAUAUGGGAUCUUGGGUAACCGAGAUUCGAAGCUAGGCAAAUCAAGCAUACCCAGGAGACGACAAUAAGCUCAAGACCCUUUUUACCCUUUUGCCUUCUUCUCUUACACUCUUUUUUCGAUUCAAUAGUUAAAUUUAUAGCUGGAAAAGAGAAUCGAUUCAAAUUUUUCAACAAAUUCAUGAUUUUUACAGAAAAUUUUAUUUAAAGUUCUCUCUUUUUCCCCUUUUUACCUCAUUUUCUUUUUCUGUGUUUUGAGAUAUUAUAACAAGAAUAACAAUAAUUUGUCAUAGUAGAGAUAAAAUUUGGGUUCGUGUUUGAUUGAUCGAUCUGUUGAUGGAGGAUUCUGCGAGCAGAGAUGAAGAUUACUACUAUUCUUCCAAUCGAGAUUCCCUCGACAGUCUCGAGAAUGAGGAUUCUAAUUUACAGUGGGCCCCUUCAAAGGGUCCCACUACCAAGGCAGAGGAGCUGCUAGUUGUUGAAUUUGAUCGAUUCUUUUUCCCUUUUUAUCUCAAAAUUUGCCCCCAAAUUUCCCAUUUCCAGCAACACCAAGUCAAUACACCUACGACAAUCACACUUCUUUUUCAUUUAUGUUUUACGAAGUCUCAUUCGAAUGUCUCUACUGGUACUCAAAAGACUCCCAUUAUCCAUAUUGACAUGGAGCCAUCCUGAAUUAAAUGACAAGCCUGUAGCUGUAUGCCAUUCAGACAAUCCAAAAGGAACUGCUGAAAUCUCUUCUGCAAAUUAUCCUGCUCGAGAUUAUGGAUAGGAGCAAAUGGUUUGGAGAACUCCGUUGGGAAGAAAGUUUGCGGGAUGCACACGAGUUUGGAAAACUUAUUCUGUUUCAGAACUUGGAUCUAGCUUACUCUUCAGCAGAAGUGGAGCCUUUGCAGAUGUGGAGGAGGUAGAACCUUGGCUUCGAUUGGACGAAUCUUCUGAGGUUUUCUAUUUACAUCUGACACAGGUGUUAGAUUAUCAGAAUUGACUAAGUUAGGAUUUACCUUGUUAGAAUUUUCGAAAUUCAACUUCUAUAGAGCAAAAAUUUCAACUUCCGGUUGAACUCUCUCCUCUUCUAUAGGCUUAUUCUCAACCUCAACCACCUUAAGCUCCAAAGUCUUCUCACUUCGUAAAAUGACCGCUUUGCAAUGCUCUUUACUAGGAUUUCUUAGAAUCUUCGUAUUACUUAAAAAAGCUCCUUAUGGUCUAACCCAGAGUUUAGUAGCCAAUUAGCCCAUUUGAUACUCCAAAUUCCUCAAGUUGACAUAAUUCUUUACCAUAUAUUCCUUCAACAAGCUCUCUAAAUUAUUGGAAGAUUUAGCUUGUGGUGGUUUUUUAAACUUUCUAGGCAAAUCCAAGUGGUUGAUUUAAUCUAGCUGCAUAUAGGUGUUACUAGGUCCAGUUCCUUGGUUAUUUUAAGAAAAGUUUGGAUGGUUUCGCCAUGAAGGGUUAUAGAAAUUAGACUAUGGUCCUUGCUUAUUUUUGUUCUGGUUCUGAUUACCCCUGUAAUAAAUGAACUUAGGGUUUGAUGAGCAAUUUUCAAACCGAUGUUCAUCCCCAAAAUACACAUAGAAAAUGGGUUCAAAUUGACUUGGUGGCUAUAGUGUAACACUAUUAAGACCAUUAGUAGUAAAUCUUUUAAGCAUUGAAAAGAUAGAUGAUACUUGAGCUUCUAGUGAAGUGAAUGCAUCAACUUCAUGAACUCAUGUUACUUGUCUUCCUGAAGUUGCUCGAUUGGUUGACUAUUGGUAAUUGUUGUAUGUAAUUCUCUCAAUAAUUUCAUAAGCCUCAUUAUAAGAAUUAGAAAUGAGAGCAACAUUUGCAGACGCAUCUACUGCCGUCCUCGUAUGUGCAUUGAGACCAUUAUAGAACGUCUUCAGCUAAAUGCAGUGUGGAAUCCCUGUUAGAGUAUGCCCAAAGAUCAAUCAUGAGAUGGUUGUAAUAACAUACUUGAUUUAUCAUGUUUAUUAAUAUAAGGCGUUACCAUUAUUAUUUCA